rnacentral:rRNA from 1 species
AUGCCCAAACUUCUAGCUCCAACCGGUCGGCUCACCCUUACCCGCUUGGUCCUGAUGGCACUGCCCAUCCAUUUCAUGUCGGCUUUGCCACUGCCUAUGUGGGCGAUCAAAACCAUUGAAAGGAGGUGCAGAGGAUUUCUUUGGAAGGGAGAGCAAGAUAUUAGCGGGGGGCAUUACUUACUUCCCUGGUCCAAGGUGUGCAGACCAAUGGAGUUGGGCGGCCUGGGAAUUUUUAACCUCAGAUGAUUCGGCUUUGCACUACGGUGUAGGUGGCCCUGGAGAUCUUGGGAUGAGGAAAAUAGGCCUUGGCACCACUUCGAGGACAAAAAGAGAAAGAGGUGUCCUGCAUGUUCAAUGCGACUUGCACAAUUGCCCUGGGAAACUGAGAGGUUCACUACUAGGGAAAACCCUAGUAGUAUAGCUUGUUUUAUAGCUAGCAGUAGCGCUUGUACAAGCGCUACCAGUAAGGCGCUAUAG